rnacentral:rRNA from 1 species
AAAGGGCUCGCAGGCGGUUUCUUAAGUCUGAUGUGAAAGCCCCCGGCUCAACCGGGGAGGGUCAUUGGAAACUGGGGAACUUGAGUGCAGAAGAGGAGAGUGGAAUUCCACGUGUAGCGGUGAAAUGCGUAGAGAUGUGGAGGAACACCAGUGGCGAAGGCGACUCUCUGGUCUGUAACUGACGCUGAGGAGCGAAAGCGUGGGGAGCGAACAGGAUUAGAUACCCUGGUAGUCCACGCCGUAAACGAUGAGUGCUAAGUGUUAGGGGGUUUCCGCCCCUUAGUGCUGCAGCUAACGCAUUAAGCACUCCGCCUGGGGAGUACGGUCGCAAGACUGAAACUCAAAGGAAUUGACGGGGGCCCGCACAAGCGGUGGAGCAUGUGGUUUAAUUCGAAGCAACGCGAAGAACCUUACCAGGUCUUGACAUCCUCUGACAAUCCUAGAGAUAGGACGUCCCCUUCGGGGGCAGAGUGACAGGUGGUGCAUGGUUGUCGUCAGCUCGUGUCGUGAGAUGUUGGGUUAAGUCCCGCAACGAGCGCAACCCUUGAUCUUAGUUGCCAGCAUUCAGUUGGGCACUCUAAGGUGACUGCCGGUGACAAACCGGAGGAAGGUGGGGAUGACGUCAAAUCAUCAUGCCCCUUAUGACCUGGGCUACACACGUGCUACAAUGGGCAGAACAAAGGGCAGCGAAACCGCGAGGUUAAGCCAAUCCCACAAAUCUGUUCUCAGUUCGGAUCGCAGUCUGCAACUCGACUGCGUGAAGCUGGAAUCGCU